AGAGUUUGAUCCUGGCUCAGGACGAACGCUGGCGGUGUGCCUCACACAUGCAAGUCGAACGGGGUAGCAAUACCCAGUGGCGGACGGGUGAGUAACACGUGGGAAUCUGCCUUAUGGAGGGGAAUAACUGACCGAAAGGUUGGCUAAUACCGCAUAUGCCGCAAGGUGAAAGGAGCAAUCCGCCAUAAGAUGAGCCCGCG
rnacentral:rRNA from 1 species